rnacentral:lncRNA from 1 species
GAGGUAACAACCUUCUCGUCCUUGGUUAGACUUUUGUUCUAAAAAAUUUCGAAACUUAUUUUCUAGAUCUAGGGUUUUGUGUUUGUGUGUUGAAAAUUUUGAGUUAAUAUUUGAAAAGAAGAAGAAAAUGGAUGUCUAAAUCCACAAAAAAUUUGAAAUCGGAGGUGUUUGAUGGUUUGCCGGCGGCGGCGGCGCCACCAUAAGGUGGCCGGCCACCGCGCCGGCGUUGUUGUUUUCCAUUUUAGUGAAGCAUGCUUUCCAUUUUAGUGACGUGAUCACUACUUUUCAUGGUUUAUAUUUGGUCCCUCUAGAACUUUUGCUCUGCAUGUAUUAGAGAUUCUUUGCACGUGAUGAACCUAUACUUAUCAAUAUGAUAUGUUGUAUUCUAAUUAAAUAAGGUUUUCAUUUGUAAUAAUGUUUAUUAGUGUAUCUAUUUGAAUAAGCUUUUCAUUUGUGAUAAUGCUUAUUUGUCUAACAAAUUGUUCUUUGAUUUGCUUUUACAUGUUGUAAGAUGGUUGUAAGCAAUUGCUAGGUGUCUAAAGAACAAUUUUCUCAAAUUGUACUUCGAGCUUAUAUUGAACUGGGCUUAAUAGUAAUACACCCACAUGACAAGAUGGCCUAAAGCCCAAAAUAGUUCAAACAAAAAAACACUCGUCGCACACAGGUCAGCUUCUCUGGCGGUGACUUAUAGGGUUUACCUUACCCCGUCGUGAAGAACCUCACUCUCUCUUUCAUCUUCGAAAUCUCAACUAAUACAUGGCUGAAGUUAACGCUAACCCCGAACCCCCUCAAAACAUGACCAUCUACAUCAACAACCUCAACGAAAAAAUCAAAAUCGAUGGUUCGUUCUUUUUUUUCAUAACAUCAAUUUUUCAAUAUAGAUACACUAAUAUACUCUUUUUAUUUAUAUACUUCAAUUUUGAUGCAGAGUUGAAGAAAUCUUUGCACGCUGUUUUCAGCCAAUUUGGGAAGAUACUUGAGGUUUUGGCUUUCAAGACUCUGAAACAUAAGGGUCAAGCUUGGGUGAUUUUUGAGGAUGUUACUUCUGCUUCUAAUGCUCUUAGGCAAAUGCAAGGUUUCCCCUUCUAUGAUAAGCCCAUGGUACUAUCAUAUGCUCUUCAAUUUCACUUUUCAAAUUUGAAAUUGUGUUUUACUUUCGUAUUUUUAAUUUAAUUUAAGGUGCUUUUUUUAUUAGGAUUAGUUUUUUAGUUAGAAUUUUUGGGUGUAAUUUCAUUCUAAUUUAUGACAACAACAACAGCAACAAAAACAACCAAGCCUUAUCCCACUAGGUGGGGUCGGCUACAUGGGUCAAAUGACGUCAUAGUGUUCUAUCAUACACCAAAUUUGGAUUCAACUCAUUGACCUCUAAAUCCUUUCUAAUGGUUUCUCUAAUAGUUUUCCUAGGUCUUCCUCUACCUCUUUUAACUUGACUCUUCUCCAUUUGAUCUACCCUUCUUAACACGGCAUCUACGGGUCUUCUCUCUACAUGCCCAAACAAUCUAAGUCUAUUUUCUACCAACUUUUCUACUAUAGGUGCUACCCCCACUCUCUCUCUAAUGGUGUCAUUCCUAAUCCUAUCCUAUCUAAUCUUACCACUCAUCCAGCGCAACAUCCUCAUCUCUGCUACACUUACUUGAUUCUCAUGUUGACUCUUAAUCGCCCAACACUCCGUACGUGAACAACUACUAAUGUCGUGAUUCAAAGAUUUAUAUUUCUGACAUUGAAAGUAAAAUUUGCAUGAAGUCACAGUCCACUUUUGUUGUGAACAACUACUAAUUGGUUCUAUUGAGCUAGCUUUGUCACAAUUCUGUGGAUGAAAUUAUAUUUUAGAUUUAUUUAGCACAGAAAAAUAAAAUUAUGUGAUUUAUGGUCUAUCUUAAUGGAUGGUGUGGCAUGGUGAGAUUUGCAGUUAGUUCUAACUGAGUGUUUUGAAGCUAUAAAAAAUGCUUUCUAUCAGUGCGUGCUCCAAUAAUCGUUGCUUGAUUUGUGCUGCUGGAGCUUUAUUUUAAUUGGUCAUAUGCUAGCAUGUGAUGUGUUAUUUUUCGUUCUGGCUAGACCUGUUUGAUAUUUUUCAAAUCUUCAGCAAAAUUUUAAUGAAUUUUUUAUUUGAUAUCUAUCCAUUUUCCUCGUGCUAAAUAGAUUUUUUUGGUCUACAGCUAAAUCAGUUAAAAGUAGAAUUUAUCAUGAAAAAUUAAUUUUAUUACAAUUAGACAAGUAUCAAGUACUUAGGGAACCUUCCCUUAGCUAGCAAUCAAGAUUCAAGGGGGAAGAACCAAACCACUUAGUUACACCACCAAACAUCCCAUACUACUUGAUGUGGGACGUGGGCACCCCAUAACAAAUCUCUAAUCUAUUGUAGCACCACCCCUGAGAGAGAUGACAACCUGACGGGUUGGCAUACUACAGUGCUUUAUGCGGCCUUUUCGCUCAGCUCCUCUGUCGGUAGCUCUUUACGAGCAACUGACGACCAGUUCUGAUACCAAUUAAUCAGUAUUUAAGCACUUGGGAAACCCUCCCUUAAAAGCUAUCUAUCAAAGGGGAAGCACCAGGUCACGUAAGUACACCACCGAGCAUCCUAAACUACUCAAUGUGGGAUAUAGACAACUUAUUGUUUGGCCUGUUUGGCCCCAUUGGAUAUGUAAUAGUUUGUUAGUUUAUAUAAUUUCCAUAAAACUAUUCUCAGGCAAGAAAUUGAAUUCCAUUUUGCAAUCUAUGCAGAGAAUACAGUAUGCCAGGACUAAAUCUGAUGUCAUAGCUAAAGCAGAAGGUACUUUUGUUCCUCGGGAAAAACGAAAGAGGCACGAUGACAAAGGUAUAACUAUUUGAGCUCUCUAUUUUUUUUUUAAAGGAUAUCGUACUGUUAAGUGUAAGCUCAUAUUGGAAAUAAACAAACUAAACUAAGAAUGUUUUCUCUUCAAAAUGAGGGUCCAACUCACUGAGGGCCCAAUAAUGGCUACAAAAGGCCAAUCAAUAUAUUUCAUAGGUUUUAUCUUUUUUGGUGUUGGUGGGGGUUUUUGUUUGGUUUGGUCGCCAAGGGGCUUUUGGGGUCAUGAUUUCUGUAAGUGAUAAUGCAUUAAUAAUGAAGAAGGAAAAGAUCCAAUAAAUGAUAUUUUUUAUGCUUUCCUUCAUCAGCAAAGAACAGACUUUCGCUAUACUUUUGACUUUUCGUGUCUAGUAUGGAUGCAACUCUUUUAAUGAAUAUCUGUAAUAUGUACUGUAUAAAUAAAUAUACAUAGUCAAAUUACAUAUCCAAUUACAUUUUUCAGCAGGCAAAAAAAGGAAGGACCAAAACGAUGCUAAUUUAGCUGGAACUGGCCUAAAUCCUGCUUAUGCUGGUGCUUACGGUGCAACUCCUGCUGUAAGUUUCUCUGCUGUUGUAGUUUAUUUUUGUCAAUGGUCAUUUUAUAGGCAUCUUAAUGUGCUGGACCUUUGUCUCAUUGAAUCUAGCAUCUUCAUAAUUUUAACUGUUUUAUGGUAAUUUUUCUCGAACUGUUAAAGUUUUAUUAUCAAAGCCGGAAUCAAAAUAAUGAAGAUGAGAUGACACUAUCUGUUUCAAAGCAAAUUAUUCUAUAAUACAUAGAAGCACAAACAAUUUUAUUCUGCAUUUGUUACACACUUUUUCUAAUAAUGCAGUUAUCCCAGAUACCUUAUCCAGGCGGUGCGAAGUCCUUGCUACCUGAGGCUCCUGCACCACCAAAUAAUAUUCUCUUUAUUCAGAAUCUUCCUAACGAGACCACUCCCAUGAUGCUUCAAAUGUUGUUUCUUCAAUAUCCUGGAUUCAAGGAAGUUAGAAUGGUUGAAGCAAAGCCAGGAAUUGCCUUUGUGGAAUAUGGAGAUGAGAUGCAAUCCACGAUGGCUAUGCAGGCGCUGCAAGGUUUCAAGAUAGCCCCACAAAACCCUAUGUUGAUAACUUAUGCAAAGAAAUAGACAGUGAUUUCUCCAACUUAUGGUGCAAGAAAGGCAGGAAUCAUAUGUCUUCGCAUAGAGUUGUUAAUCCAUCUAAUGCAAUAGUUUAUCUUCUUAAUUGCUGUUUACCCGUAGCAGCCUUGGUUCUUGUAUGAUUGUAGUUAGUGCACUAACUUUUAACAUUCUUAUAAAAAUCUGUAUUUGGAAAAUUGCUUUCUUUUUUUAUUAUGGUAAAUUACUAUUUGGUUUGAGUUUAUCUAUGACAAAUUUAUUUUACAUUUUAUGGAUUUGUCAUUUGUCAUGCGUUUUUCUUGUUUGGGGGAGAUUUCCCUAGUUAUUUUACUGGAUGAAGAGUAACUAGAUACAUGAUCUCUUUUUUGCUUAAGUAUACAACUUUUUAAGUUAUCUUGUGAAUUGCUAUCCUCUUGUAAUUAUUUUUAGUUACAUUGGAAAAAAAAAUGGAAUAAAAAUCAGAUUUUUGAAGGUUUGGCGUUAACUUAAGGUUUGGAUUGGAGCAAAUAUAUUGAGAGAUUUAUCAAUUUCCAAAUUUAAUGUACAAGCAAGAAACUGUUUUUUUGCUGGGUUGCUGUUCCUUUCUCAGUGGCAAUGGCAUAGUGAAAAAACACAUCCAGUUAUCAUCCAGAAGGGGACGGUGGUUCUAAGAGAAAAAGGGAGAGUCUGGGAAGAAAAAAAAAAUGAAAAAAAACUAAAAUGAGUAUAGAUGAACAGUAACAUAUGGUGUUGUAUUUUUGUCAAAAAAAGUGUGUUCAGUUAUCAUUUAUCUAAAAACUAAACUUUUACCCAAACACACCUCCCUUUCAUGCAUUUCUGCAAAGAAAGAAACCCUAGCAGCAGCCGCUUAUCACCCUCUCUCCCAAGAACAAACCCUAGCUGCCGGCCACACAACAAACCAACCGGAAAAUGGUUGAGAUUACACCACACCCACCGUGACUCUCAUCUCCAUUCAUCAUAUUUGUUUCUCUACUCUGUUUUCGUUUUUUUCUUUCAUUCACGUCUCAAUCUCAUCCACCAUCACAUUUUAGUUUCAUUUUCGUUAUUCUCAUCUCCAGAUCUGUGAUUGAGGUAGUUUUUUAGCUUUAAAACUGUUAUGUUCAUGGGUUUUUGUUGAUUCUUUGAUUAUUCAUGCUUUGAUUCAUUUUAACAGUUUUAUUCUAUUUUCUUUUUACUUGGUUGGUUUGGUUCUUGGAUCUUGGUUUAGUUUAACACUAUAAGGUAUGUUAUUAUCCCCUAUUUAUUUUUUUAUUUUUUUCUGUUUAUGAUUUUCUCAAUUUAGUUUGUCCUUUGUAAUACUCUUUAAUCAGAUAUAUCUAUCUAACAUUUUUUUUUUGUUUUCUAUUUGAUAUUGUGGAACUUGGAUCAGCUGUGAAAAAAGAUAACAUAAGGUAUUCUUUUUUCUCUUUUUGUGGCUGACUGUCUAGGUGUAUUUUUUUGCUGAUAUGUCGUUUUCUUCUCUUUUAGUGCUUUUUAUUGAAGUUGAAUUACCAUUUUUAGUCUAAUCAGUUUUUUUUUUUGUCAACUUUAGUACUACUAAGUACUAACAUGUACUAAUUGUUUGAUAUUUGUCCUACAAUUUUUUUUGCCAUGAUUGUGUUUUAUGCUGAACUAUAUCUGUUUUAUCUUAAUCACCAACAAGAUGUGUGAACCUUUCUGAAAUAUUAUCAUUUUAAAAACAAUUUUAUCUACUUCAGUCUUAAAAUGGUUUGUGUCUGUCAUAUUUUCAAUGUAGUCUAUAUGAACCAAAACAUAUACAUGAUGAUAAGUAUCAAUUCAUUGAAUCAAUGUUAUCAUGAAUUUUGAAAGAAGAUUUGAACAAUCCACAAGUAAAAACGAGGACCACAAUCCACUGAAGCAUGCUUUCCAUUUUAGUGACGUGAUGACUACUUUUCAUGGUUUAUAUUUGCUCCCCUCUAGAACUUUUGCUCUGCAUGUAUUAUAGAUUCUUUGCAUAGUGAUGAACCUAUACUUAUCAAUAUGAUAUGUUGUAUUCUAAUUAAAUAAGGUUUUCAUUUGUAAUAAUGUUUAUUAGUGUAUCUAUUUGAAUAAGC